GACGAACCGUGCGAACGUUGUUCGGAAUCACUGGGCUUAAAGGGCGCGUAGGCGGACCCCCAAGUCCGGGGUGAAAUCCUCCGGCUUAACCGGAGAAUUGCCUGGGAUACUGGGGGUCUUGAGGGAGGUAGGGGCACGCGGAACUUCCGGUGGAGCGGUGAAAUGCGUUGAUAUCGGAAGGAACGCCGGUGGCGAAAGCGGCGUGCUGGCCCUCUUCUGACGCUGAGGCGCGAAAGCCAGGGGAGCGGAACGGG
rnacentral:rRNA from 1 species